UGAGGAAUAUUGGUCAAUGGGCGAGAGCCUGAACCAGCCAAGUCGCGUGAGGGAGGAAGGUCCUACGGAUUGUAAACCUCUUUUGCCGGGGAGCAAAGGGGCCAUUGAUGGCAGGAUGAGCGUACCCGGAGAAAAAGCAUCGGCUAACUCCGUGCCAGCAGCCGCGGUAAUACGGGGGAUGCGAGCGUUAUCCGGAUUCAUUGGGUUUAAAGGGUGCGUAGGCGGCUUUGCAAGUCAGCGGUGAAAGGCCCGGGCUCAACCCGGAAAGUGCCGUUGAUACUGUGAGGCUGGAAUGCGGAUGCUGUGGGAGGAAUGAGUGGUGUAGCGGUGAAAUGCAUAGAUAUCACUCAGAACACCGAUUGCGAAGGCAUCUCACAAAUCCGCAAUUGACGCUGAGGCACGAAAGCGUGGGG
rnacentral:rRNA from 1 species